GCCUGGAUAGCUCAGCUGGUUAGAGCGUGGUGCUGAUAACGCCAAGGCUGGAAGUUCGAUCCCCAUACAGGACA